GACUCCUACGUGAGGCAGCAGUGGGGAAUAUUGCACAAUGGGGGAAACCCUGAUGCAGCCAUGCCGCGUGUGUGAAGAAGGCCUUCGGGGUUGUAAAGCACUUUCAGUAGGGAGGAAGGUAGUGUAGUUAACACCUGCAUUAUUUGACGUUACCUACAGAAGAAGCACCGGCUAACUCCGUGCCAGCAGCCGCGGUAAUACGGAGGGUGCGAGCGUUAAUCGGAAUUACUGGGCGUAAAGCGCAUGCAGGCGGCCUGUUAAGUCAGAUGUGAAAGCCCGGGGCUUAACCUCGGAAUUGCAUUUGAAACUGGCAGGCUAGAGUCUUGUAGAGGGGGGUAGGAAUUUCAGGUGUAGCGGUGAAAUGCGUAGAGAUCUGAAGGAAUACCAGUGGCGAAGGCGGCCCCCUGGACAAAGACUGACGCUCAGAUGCGAAAGCGUGGGGAGCAAACAGGAUUAGACACCCUGGUAG
rnacentral:rRNA from 1 species